rnacentral:rRNA from 1 species
GAUGAACGCUGGCGGCGUGCCUAAUACAUGCAAGUCGAGCGAACAGACGAGGAGCUUGCUCCUCUGACGUUAGCGGCGGACGGGUGAGUAACACGUGGAUAACCUACCUAUAAGACUGGGAUAACUUCGAGAAACCGGAGCUAAUACCGGAUAAUAUAUUGAACCGCAUGGUUCAAUAGUGAAAGACGGUUUUGCUGUCACUUAUAGAUGGAUCCGCGCCGCAUUAGCUAGUUGGUAAGGUAACGGCUUACCAAGGCAACGAUGCGUAGCCGUCCUGAGAGGGUGAUCGGCCACACUGGAACUGAGACACGGUCCAGACUCCUACGGGAGGCAGCAGUAGGGAAUCUUCCGCAAUGGGCGAAAGCCUGACGGAGCAACGCCGCGUGAGUGAUGAAGGUCUUCGGAUCGUAAAACUCUGUUAUUAGGGAAGAACAAAUGUGUAAGUAACUAUGCACGUCUUGACGGUACCUAAUCAGAAAGCCACGGCUAACUACGUG